GUGCCAGCAGCCGCGGUAAUACCGGCAGCUCAAGUGAUGUCCCAUAUUAUUGGGCCUAAAGCGUCCGUAGCUGGCCGACCAAGUCUCCCGGGAAAUCCACCGGCCAAACGGGUGGGCGUCCGGUGGAAACUGGCCGGCUUGGAACCGGAAGGCUCAGAGAGUACGUCCGGGGUAGGAGUGAAAUCCUGUAAUCCCGGACGGACUACCGAUGGCGAAAGCACUCGGCGAAGACGGCUUCGACAGUGAGGGACGAAAGCUCGGGUCUCAAACCGGAUUAGAAACCCUAGUAGUCC
rnacentral:rRNA from 1 species